rnacentral:rRNA from 1 species
UACGGAGGGUGCAAGCGUUAUCCGGAUUUACUGGGCUUAAAGGGUGCGUAGGCGGGUUGGUAAGUCAGAGGUGAAAUACUUUGGCUUAACGAAGGAACUGCCAUUGAUACUACCAGUCUUGAAUACAGUGGAGGUAGGCGGAAUGCGUCAUGUAGCGGUGAAAUGCUUAGAUAUGACGCAGAACACCAAUUGCGAAGGCAGCAUGCUGGACUGUUAUUGACACUGAGGCACGAAAGCGUGGGGAUCAAACAGG